UACGUAGGUGACCAGCGUUGUCCGGAUUUACUGGGCGUAAAGAGCGCGCAGGCGGUCGUUCAAGUCGAGUGUGAAAGCCCCCGGCUCAACUGGGGAGGGUCACUCGAUACUGAUCGACUUGAAGGCAGGAGAGGGAAGCGGAAUUCCCGGUGUAGUGGUGAAAUGCGUAGAGAUCCGGAAGAACACCGGUGGCGAAGGCGGCCUGCUGGGCAGUGGCUGACGCUGAGGCGCGACAGCGUGGGGAGCAAACAGG
rnacentral:rRNA from 1 species